rnacentral:lncRNA from 1 species
CCGAGAUGAAGUGACUCACCAGGGGUCGCCUAGCUAAGCAGUGGAGAGUGGGCCUCCCACCCAGGCCUUCUCACUCUGACUCCUGUUCUCCACGUCAUUGCAUAUGGCGACAUGCGGGUCACGUGAUCACACAUCCCUAGCCGAUAUGGAAUUAGGCCUGAAGAGGCAGAACACCCCAGAGGAGCCUGGGGCCACCACCCAGCAUCACUGUGGGAAAACGGCAGCAGGAAAUGUCCUCUCGCCUGCGUGCUCCACCUCGGUCCACGCCUUCCCUCCUUCUGGAAGCCUUGCCUGACCACUGGCCUGCCCCUUCUAUGGGAAUCACUACUGACCUUGCAGCUUAUUAUAGACUUAUAUGUUUUUUGCAUGUCUGACACCCAUGACUCCACCUGGACCUUAUGGCUCCACCCAGAAGCAAUUCAGCCCAACAGGAGGACAGCUUCAACCCAUUACGAUUUCAUCUCUGCCCCAACCACUCAGCAGCAAGCACCUGUUACCUGUCCACCCCCACCCCUUCCCCCAAACUGCCUUUGAAAAAUCCCUAACCUAUGAGCUUUGAAUAAGAUGAGUACGAACUUCAUCGCCCACGUGGCGUGGCCGGCCUCGUGUCUAUUAAAUUC